GCUCGGUGGUCUAGGGGUAUGUUUCUCGCUUCAGGUGCGAGAGGUUCCCGUUUCAAUUUCCGGUCGAACCC
rnacentral:tRNA from 1 species